UACAGAGGUCUCAAGCGUUGUUCGGAAUUACUGGGCGUAAAGGGCUCGUAGGUGGCCAACUAAGUCAGACGUGAAAUCCCUCGGCUUAACCGGGGAACUGCGUCUGAUACUGGAUGGCUGGAGUAUGGGAGAGGAAUGCGGAAUUCCAGGUGUAGCGGUGAAAUGCGUAGAUAUCUGGAGGAACACCGGUGGCGAAGGCGGCAUUCUGGACCAUUACUGACGCUGAGGAGCGAAAGCCAGGGGAGCAAAGCGGG
rnacentral:rRNA from 1 species